UUUCUGAAGUUUCAUACCACUAUUAUUGGUCUUGGAGACCAAUACAUUAUUACUGUUUGAGCAAAGUCCAAGAUUAUUCGAGAAAAAGAAUAGUCAAAAUAUAUCAUUAAACUGUUAGUUACCCUAUAUGACAAUACUUACUGACAGUAGUAACGUUUGUACGUAUUCUACACAAUUGGAACUGAUGUCCUUUAAUGGCUUUGGCUCGAUUAAUAACACGAAAGAACUUAAAUGGUUGGUUCUUCGAAGAGAACCUGCUGGCUGCUGCCAGAAAGAACAGCUACCUCCAGAUGCAAAUCAACUAACAUGUUGAUACAUUAACUAACAACCCUACAUAAAUAACUACAGCAUCUAUUUGGAUUGCAUCAUAGUAUAUAUGAUUAUAUGGACAUCUUGGUUAACGAAAUCUUGGGCUCAUGGACUACAACUCUUUUUUGUUGUAAGCCCAUACACCUAAACACAAGUCUUACCAAUAACAAUCCAGACACCCUGAAUCAAUACCCAGCCCAUAGAAAGAUAAAAUGAAAAAAAAUAUUUCAACUACCUCAGAGACCCCGCCAUAAAAGGUUACUUGGGUGGUUCUGUGUCUUGUAUUUUGUCCAAGUAAGUGUCCAAGAUUUGAAUUUUAUCAUCGUGUACAUGUAGUAACACAUUUUCUUAGUUAAGUUUUCAAAUUUUAA